rnacentral:lncRNA from 1 species
AUGUGGGCUGAGGAUUUGGGCUCAGGAUGUGGGCUCAGGAUCAGUUUUUGGGCUCAGGAUCAGGAUCAGGAUGCGGGCUCAGGAUCAGGAUGUGGGAUCAGGACCAGGAUCAGGAUCAGUUUUUGGGCUCAGGAUCAGGAUCAGUUUCUGGGCUCAGGACCAGGACCAGGAUCAGUUUUUGGGCUCAGGAUCAGGACCAGGAUCAGUUUUUGGGCUCAGGACCAGGAUCAGGUUUUGGGCUCAGGAUCAGGAUCAGUUUUUGGGCUCAGGACCAGGAUGAGUUUUUGGGCUCAGGACCAGGAUCAGUUUUUGGGCUCAGGAUCAGGACCAGGAUCAGUUUUUGGGCUCAGGACCAGGAUCAGUUUUUGGGCUCAGGACCAGGACCAGGAUCAGUUUUUGGGCUCAGGACCAGGAUCAGUUUUUGGGCUCAGGAUCAGGACCAGGAUGAGUUUUUGGGCUCAGGAUCAGUUUUUGGGCUCAGGACCAGUUUCUGGGCUCAGGACCAGGAUCAGUUUUUGGGCUCCGGACCAGGACCAGUUUUUGGGCUCAGGACCAGGAUCAGGAUUCAGGACCAGGAUCAGGAUUCAGGACCAGGAUCAGGACUCGGGCUCCCGUCCCGCAGGAGCCGGGCCCCGAGCCGUGCUGCGUGCUGCUGGUGUCCAACCUGCCGGCCAAGGGCUGCGGGCAGGAGGAGCUCUGCAACCUGGCCCGGCCCUUCGGCGGCCUGCGCGACCUGCUGCUGCUCUCCUCGCACAAAAAGGUACCAGGAGCGGGACUGGGCCUGUUUUUGGGAAGUUUUUUGGGAUUUUUGGGGGGAUUUUUGAGGAUUUUUUGGGGAUUUUUGAGGAUUUUUUGGGAAGUUUUUGGAGAUUUUUGGAGGAUUUGGCCAAGCCCUUCAGGGGCCUGCAGGACCGGCUGCUGCGCUNNNNNNNNNNGGAUUUGGCCAAGCCCUUCAGGGGCCUGCAGGACCGGCUGCUGCGCUCGUCAUACAAAAAGGUACCGGGGAAUGGGGCUUGGGGGUUUAAAGGAUUUUUGGGGAUUUUUUUCAAUUUUUGGGGAUUUUUGGGGGAUUUUUGA